UACGUAGGGGGCAAGCGUUGUCCGGAAUCAUUGGGCGUAAAGCGCGUGUAGGCGGUUCUGUAAGUCUGCUGUGAAAGCCCAGGGCUCAACCCUGGGAUGCCGGUGGAUACUGUCGGACUAGAGUACGGAAGAGGCGAGUGGAAUUCCCGGUGUAGCGGUGAAAUGCGCAGAUAUCAGGAGGAACACCAAUGGCGAAGGCAGCUCGCUGGGACGGUACUGACGCUGAGGCGCGAAAGCGUGGGGAGCAAACAGG
rnacentral:rRNA from 1 species